AGACAGUCCCAGGAAGAAGCACAGAAAAGGAAAGGAACCAGCCACCUGGACCCAUGCCGCUCACCAAAUGCACUGGGCAGAACGACUGCUGACCAGGAGGCGGGACCCCCUGCAGGCCUUUCCCCUUCUUUGCUCCAACCCCAUUUUUCCUAGCUCCAGCUCUGGGAGAGAAGCAAAAGGCCAAGGACACACCCACAGGCCUGGGUGACUCUCUCUGUCCCAGGGAUUAAAUCAGGGGACCUGCCUCGGACAAGGUGGCAGCCACCAUUCGGGUGGCCCAACGCUCUGCUCUGUCUUGCCAGGGACUUUUUUGGCCGGGCUCUGCUUCCUACCAAGGCCUGGAGCUCACCACCUUGGGCUGGCCCCCCAACAAAGCAGCCAGAAACGGCUGGCCCAACCUGCAGCCACAGGGCUCCCACCCCCCACCCCCACCCCGCCCCGGAGGCUCCCCUGUAAAGGGCUACCCAAAGCCCGAGGCAACACAGGCUGGCCUUGCUCUCACACAGGAACCCUGCAAAGGCCACCAAACCUCGCCAAGGCACAAGGCCCCACCCAGGGCCAGGAUGCUGGAGAGGAAGGGCACAGACUCUGAUGAAUGGGACUCGGGACUCGGAGACCCCCGUUUCUUUCUCUGCCUAAACAAGGGAGGCCCCAAGUUUACACUGUAGCCCGGCGGACCUGCUGACAGACCACCAGCUCAGGAGACACAGAAUGGCUCCCUGUCCCUUGCGCAGAGCCCUCCCGGGAACGCCAAAAGGAAGCAGGGCACGCCUGCAGGAAGCUCCUACUGGCUCAAGUCUGGACUUUAAGUGCUUCCAUAAGGAUAACAACUGCCAGGAAUGGAACUUCAAGAGAUUAUUUUGGCAAGUCUUGAGUUCCCGAUGCUCUUUCAUUGCAAAGUAACUCCUGGAUCACGGCUGGUUUUGUUUGUGGUCGGUUUCCUGGUGGUUUUGGAGGCUGAGGAUGAUCUCCACCCCUGGGGAAUUCAGGGGAAGCGUGGACCCUGAACCUCGGUACUCUGUCCUGCUACCCUUGGACGUGCCCCUUCACCAAAGGGCAGCCAUGGCACGAGGACCCUUAGGACACCAGGGACACAGCUAAGAACUGGAAGCGAAAGGAAACGAGGGAAGCAGUAUGUCCUCACCUCCACCACCACUGCCAAGGCACUGCCAAAGCUGUCCUGGACCUAGGGCACGGAGGGGUGCUUCGCUGGGACUUGGCGGCCUUCCAGGACUGACCAGGAGACACAAGGUGCCUAGAGACCAGGGGACACACCAGCAGGCAGAUCCCUGCCACGAGGGUCCCUCCUGAGUGCCACCAAGGGCUCUGACCCAAGAGUAGACCUGCCUGGGGGUGGGGGGCAGGGUGUGCAGAGAGAAGGCAAGAGGGGAGGAGGCGGGGCCACGCGCCCCGACGACACCCCGAGCAGAGCAGGUCCUGUCCUGGGCACAUUCAUGGGACGGGACAGGACAGGACAGGACAGGACAGGACAGGACAGGACAGGGAAGGGAUGAGGGUACUCUCCGAUGGCAAUUAAGGGAUGGUUGGGAGGGAGUGCCCCCUUGCUCCUGCGAUCCGUGCGGGUCAUCGGCACUUCCACAGGAAA
rnacentral:lncRNA from 9 species